UUGAAGGAAGAUGUCUGAGUUGAAGGACUCUUCUAUUGCAUGUUGGACAGCUAAAUGUUACUUCAAUACUUCAAUAGAGUUGUAUAGUUGGUGGAGAUAGAGAUGGGAGUGAAAGUUCUAAACCUUAAUCAAGUGGUUGACCUCACUGACAAUCUGCCUCUAUCCUCAGGAUAAAUACCCAGGAGUUAGAGCUCUGGAUCAUGUGGAUGUCAUUGAAACUUUGUUGUG